ACAGUCUAGAAAAGACUCCAUAAGGAGAAGAUUUAAUGGGGAAAAUGCUGUGCAGGGGAAAAUCUCUAAGGUGGACUUUUUAGGGUAACCUUUACUUGAGGAGAAAAUUCAGCAGACUCACUGAGGAUCGGUAAUGAGAAGGCAUGCAGGAUAGAAACUCACACGGAGAAAUACCACUUGCUUGGCUGAGGAUUGGCCUAGGCUUGCAUGAAAGGUCCCAGAUCUUGG
rnacentral:lncRNA from 1 species